AUGGACGCGUUGGAGGCACGGUACAACAAGCUUGUUCUUGUGGCCACGGCAAUUGGAGACAGCGACGAGGCUGUGACGCCGGGCGCUCUGCUUGCCGCCAUCGAGGCGCGUUGUGGUGUGCUGCAGUCAGAGGUGAGCAUCGAGGUAGCCUGCCCGCAUGACUUAUGGCUGUUUUUCUCAACGGAGGAGAAGUGCACGGCGGUGCUGCACUCGUCGAUGAAGCUCAAGUGUUGCCGUCGGUGGAUUCAGUUUCAGCUUUGGGUCAGAGAGAUUGGCGGCACUCUGGAUGCGCUUGAGUACAAGAGUAAGUUAAGCUUUGAAGGGCUCCCAGAUCAGGCAUGGUCGAUGCAAUCAGUGUCAGAUGUGGUCAAGGGUUUAGGAGGUGAACUGAUAGAGAUCAUACCGCCGAAGAACCGGCGCGAGCUUGAGGUAAUGGCGUGGCUCCGCAACCCGUCCAAAGUUGGCAAAGUGCUGGACGUGGAGAUACCCAAGCCUAAGAUUGCGCUGUGUACAGAUCCUCCUCCACAAUCACUUGAAGAGUUUGUCACACGUGAAAUUGUGUCGUCGUCGUACGGGCCGUCGUCGCCGAGGAGAAGACGACGAUUGUGUAUCCUGUCAUUUGUCACAUGA
rnacentral:rRNA from 1 species